AGCCCUGCAAAGACAGUUGCAGAGCCUGGAGAUCAUGAAAACUGAAAUGGCAGUCACAGAUGAUCAACUGGAAGGCUGGAUCACUGAUGUCAAUGAGUGGGCAGAAGGGACAACAUCCUCAACUGAUUCUGAUGUUGCUGCUGUGGCCAGACGAAUUGAGGAGCGGGUCACCAGUAUUAAAAGGAGAUCACAACGUCUUUAUAAAGACAAUGAUGGCUGCAAGGGUCGUUCCCGGAUAUGCAGAAAGAUCAGGGAGGAAAAGAAGCUUUUAAAUUCUGUGGUGGUUUAAUAUAACGCCAUGGUUCCCAAUGCAGAAAACCUGGACUUGGACACCGUUCUUUCCGAUGACAUCAUUUGGCCAUGGCAGCUUCCACACAAUGACUCUGUAGGUCUAAGGACAAAAAGGAAGGCAUUUGACAUGGUAAUGGCAGUAAGGAGGCUUGAGGAGGAGAAGAAGAUUCUCAUUAAUGAGAUGGAAAAACAUUGGACAUCUCUUUGCACCCGUGCAGACACCCUAAGAGAUGUCAUCCCAGCUUUGCAGUAGCACAUCAAGUGAGAUGUGGGGCCUGAGUAAAGAGGGAAUCCAAGGUCUACAGAGCUUAACCAAGAAGAACACACAAGCCAUCAACAGAAUACGAAAGCACACAAAGAACUGUUAUUUGCAAGUUUUGACUGGAACAGAAGUAAACUUGGAAAGUGAUUCAGAUAUAUACAAUAGUGACUCUGAACUUUCAGAAGAUGAAACAGAGGAUGUAUAAUGACCAACUUUCAAGUGACUUGUCAUGUUCUCCAAGUCUUUCUUAAAGAAAUGUAUAGAUUGGCAAGAAGAUCAUUGUAGCACCUGGACUCUUUAUGUUGAAAUUCAAUUCUUUUAUCACAUACAAAAUCAGAGCACAACAUGCUGUAAAAUGCUAAGUGCAGUGCUACAGUAUGUCAUAAAAUAAGAUUGGGAAUAAAAAGAGUUUUAAUUGUUUUUAAUACUUUUAUUUUUAUGUUUUUAAUAUAUAUUUCUUGACCAUGUCCAUGUUGUCUGUGACCAGAUGGGAAGAAAGACCACUACCAUGCAGUCUCUGUUUUUUUGUAUUUUAUUUUGUUUAUCCAUCCAAAGCCAAAAUAAUUUUAU